AGAGUUUGAUCCUGGCUCAGGAUGAACGCUAGCGGCAGGCUUAAUACAUGCAAGUCGUGGGGCAGCAUGAGUAGCAAUACUUGAUGGCGACCGGCAAACGGGUGCGGAACACGUACACAACCUUCCGAUAAGUGGGGAAUAGCCCAGAGAAAUUUGGAUUAAUACCCCGUAACAUAUAGAGUAGGCAUCUUCUUUAUAUUAUAGCUUCGGCGCUUAUUGAUGGGUGUGCGUCUGAUUAGGUAGUUGGCGGGGUAACGGCCCACCAAGCCUACGAUCAGUAGCUGAUGUGAGAGCAUGAUCAGCCACACGGGCACUGAGACACGGGCCCGACUCCUACGGGAGGCAGCAGUAAGGAAUAUUGGACAAUGGGCGAAAGCCUGAUCCAGCCAUGCCGCGUGAAGGAUUAAGGUCCUCUGGAUUGUAAACUUCUUUUAUUUGGGACGAAAAAAGGGAGUUCUUUCCCACUUGACGGUACCAAGUGAAUAAGCACCGGCUAACUCCGUGCCAGCAGCCGCGGUAAUACGGAGGGUGCAAGCGUUAUCCGGAUUCACUGGGUUUAAAGGGUGCGUAGGCGGGUAUGUAAGUCAGUGGUGAAAUCUCGGAGCUUAACUCCGAAACUGCCAUUGAUACUAUAUAUCUUGAAUAUUGUGGAGGUUUGCGGAAUAUGUCAUGUAGCGGUGAAAUGCUUAGAUAUGACAUAGAACACCUAUUGCGAAGGCAGCAGGCUACACAUAUAUUGACGCUGAGGCACGAAAGCGUGGGGAUCAAACAGGAUUAGAUACCCCGGUAGUCC
rnacentral:rRNA from 1 species